rnacentral:rRNA from 1 species
UCGGGAAUUUUGGGCAAUGGGCGCAAGCCUGAUCCAGCCAUGCCGCGUGAGUGACGAAGGCCUUAGGGUUGUAAAGCUCUUUUGGCGGGGAAGAUAAUGACGGUACCCGCAGAAUAAGCUCCGGCUAACUUCGUGCCAGCAGCCGCGGUAAUACGAAGGGAGCUAGCGUUGUUCGGAAUCACUGGGCGUAAAGCGCACGUAGGUGGGCAGUUAAGUCAGGGGUGAAAGCCCGAGGCUCAACCUCGGAAUUGCCUCUGAUACUGGCUGUCUAGAGUUCGAGAGAGGUGAGUGGAAUUCCUAGUGUAGAGGUGAAAUUCGUAGAUAUUGGGAAGAACACCAGUGGCGAAGGCGGCUCACUGGCCAGUUUCUGACGCUAAAGUGCGAAAGCGUGGGGAUCAAACAGGAUUAGAUACCCACGUAGUCCCUGAGCGGGCUGGCAAGGCGCAU